ACACGUAGGGGCCUGACGUUGUUCGGAAUCAUUGGGCGUAAAGGGCGCGCAGGCGGCCGUCCAAGUCCGGUGUUAAAUGGUCGGGCUCAACCCGAUCAUGCGCUGGAAACUGGGCGGCUUGAGUCCCGUAGGGGAUGCCGGAAUUCCAGGUGUAGGGGUGAAAUCUGUAGAUAUCUGGAAGAACACCGAUGGCGAAGGCAGGCAUCUGGCCGGAGACUGACGCUGAGGCGCGAAGGCGCGGGGAGCGAACAGGUUUAGAUGCCCUAGUAGUCCGCGCAGUAAACGAUGCGCACCAGGUGUCGGGCGGCAGCGCCCGGUACCGGAGCUAACGCGAUGAGUGCGCCGCCUGGGGAGUAUGCCCGCAAGGGUGAAACUCAAAUGAAUUGGCGGGG
rnacentral:rRNA from 1 species